GGAUACUAGAGAGCCUCAAAGAGGCACAGCUCUCUUGACCUUGAGGCCAGCUUCCUCCCACAGAUGGCCUCUAAGGAACCUGGUUGGCACAUAACUCAAGGAGCACCUGUUGGAAGACUGCAGGAAAGAAAGGCUGAAUCCAGCCGUUCUUGGAAGGUUUUCAAAGGGUAGAGUGGCAGCAGCUCCCCUUAGCCUCUGGAGCUGUCCUGUCUUUCUCUGGCUCUACCACUGCUGCCCAGCCACGGAGGGUCUGUUCAGUUCUCUGCUCAAGGGAAUUCCCCCGAGGAACUGGCCCUACGGAGAGCCACGCACCUAAGCUACAAGCCUAAAGAGCCAAUGGGGUUCUUCAUUCUGGGACAGGAAUGACCCAACUGUACUCAAAUUCCCUCACAAAAGGGGACAUGAAGGGGGCUGGUGGAUGCUGGAGUAGGGAAAAGCUGGACAAACUCAACCUGUUGAUGCUGGGUUUGGGGAGUAGCCAUCCUCUCUCCACUGAUAACCGAGCAAAAGGGAAGAUAUUAGAAUUGCAGCAUGAAGGAUUUUAGCUAGACAUCAAGUGGGCCUUCCAGAUGAUCAGGGCUCACUAUGAGUGGUUAAGGAACAUAGACUCUGAUCUCGGACACACCUCGGCUUGAAUAGAAGGUCUACCAAUACCAGCUCUGUGACUUUGGGCGAGGAUUUCACCUCUGUUUUUUUUUAAUACAUUUUUUA